AUGACCUCAGACGCCCAAGGCCGGGCUCUUUCAUCUGAGCCACGGAAACAUCCUGCCAGAUGGGAUUAUCCCCCUCCCGGCACCGUUAUGAUGUCGUCCCUAUGUCCCUGCAGUUGCCCAUGGUGACUACCAUGUCGUCAUCCCCAGGAGACAUACUUUGCUCGUUUCCGUUUGCAGAUUUCAUAUCUGCUGUCCUACCUUGGCUUUCUUUGAUGACUUUUCCCAGUGUUUCAGAUCUCCGUCCCAAGCAUCGGGGAAGCUGAGUUGGCGAAUCCGAAGGUCUAGAGAGGAUGGAGAAGAGAGAGCAGAGAAGACCGUAUCAUCAAGCUGCUCCUAGACAAGCCGUUGGCUCACUUCAAGGCCGAUGGACACUGACACAAUAACACAAGUACUCGUUGCCUCCCCGGACUUGACACCCACUCAGGCCGGCAGCUGGUAUCAUCUCCAAUGCACCCAAUACUGAAAGUGUCCCUGGAAUGGCCAAUGAGGAGAGACAGGAAACUUCACGGGUGAAUGGAUCCCAGAAAUAUUCCUGCCAGAAUCCUGCAUGUCGUCUCUACAGGCCAGGACAGAGGAUCAUGCAUUUACUCUGAGGAUGACAUGGGAGGAUCACUGGGUGUUGAAUGCUGCUGCAAUCGUCUCUGUUUAGGGCACCGGCUUCCUCUUUUAUUCUCUGAAAUGGUGGUUGUUUGGUUCUUAACGGCAGAAAUGUCUUUGAGUGGUGGAGUGUGGCAGAGAGGGAGGCUGGAAAGUCGAAAGGGGAGAGGGUUUUUUUCUGGUUUUCCAAAUCAAUGAACUCAUCCUAUCAUUCAUUCUAUCACUCUGGGGAUCCUG